rnacentral:lncRNA from 1 species
GGAGAGCCACAUGGAAAUGUAUACCACUCAAUCGUGAUCAAAGAGCGUGCGAUGGAGAGCCGCAUGGAGAUGUGUAUGGCUCUUUAAUUGUAAUCAAAGAGUACACGAUGGAGAUCCAUAUGAAGAUGUGUACCGCUCCUCGAUCGUAAUCGAGGAGUGUGCGAUGGAGAGCUGCAUGGAGACAUAUACCUCUCUUCGAUCAUGAUCGAGGAGUGUGUGAU